rnacentral:rRNA from 1 species
CUUUAUUGGAGAGUUUGAUCCUGGCUCAGGACGAACGCUGGCGGCAUGCCUAAUACAUGCAAGUCGAGCGGACUUGAAGAGAAGCUUGCUUCUCGGAUAGUUAGCGGCGGACGGGUGAGUAACACGUAGGCAACCUGCCCUCAAGUUUGGGACAACUACCGGAAACGGUAGCUA